ensembl:miRNA
GUGCGGAACGCUGGCCAGGGCGGGGCGGGAGGGGACGGGACUCCCGGCCGGAACGCCGCACUUACG